AUGACACCAAGCUGAUUCACAGGCAGUUUUCUUUCUGCACAACAACACGGCUGAAGGACGGCUUGGUGGAGGCAGACUCCGUUUCCUAAGGGCUUAUCCCAAGUUAGAGUUCAGAGGGAAGGGAAUAGAACGCGACUUGUCCACCAAACAAAAUAUGCGUGUUACUACAGUUGUAUGUAGUGGUCAGGCAAAAAGAAAAUCAGAACUUCCAAAGCUGGAGUGUCAGGUGGUUGUGAACUACUCAACCUGGUUCCUGGGAACCAAACUCAGGUCCUCCGCCAAAGGAGCACAUGCACUUAGCCACUGAGUCAUCUCUGAAGUCCCAGAAACCUCUGAAUGCCCAGGUGACAAGACCAAGGCUGAGAGACUAGGAAAGGGCUAAGAAUCUGAGUCACUGGCUGAGCAAACUACAGGUCAAUGGUGGACCUUCUCAAAAGCAAUACAUAAAUGAUCGAGGAACAAAAGCAUCACAUCAUCAACUUUUGCCCUCCACAACUGCCUACAGAGUAUAGAGAUUAAGUUCUUCACAACUCCUCACCUGCCUAGUUGAUCAGCCCAGCCAUUCUUUCCAUUUAUCUUCUGCAAUCAAGAGAAACUCUUCUGGACAAAAAGAUGUCCUCUGCAGAUGGCACCAGUCAAAAGAACCCAGUAAACACCAAACCUUGGUCUGCAGAGAAUGGGUCGGUACCAAGGUCAGUUCAUAAUAAAGAGCUUUCCAGAAGCCCCCAUCCCCACCCCAAGCCAACAGGAAUUGGCAAUGAACUUUAAGAAAAGGCUACGCGAGCCAGAAAACAACUUAGGGCUGUUUAAUUUUCCUGACAUGAACGCUGGCCACCCAAGGGGAUAAAGGAAACACCUGUCUCCCGUGGGCAGCGGUUCUGCAGGGCGUGUGGAUAUCCAGAAAGCUGCUGGGAGACUUCUUUCACCCGCCAAGUUAGAGACAAACGAACCUGUGGAAAGAGUGGUUUCGCAGAAGACCAUGGACCCCAGCCUGGGUCUCAGCUCUGCCUCUGACUAGGAAGGGGCCACUAGAAUCAGCAACCCCGCCUCUAAGAAGAACAUAAGCUUUUUGCACAGUAUUCUCUCAGGAGCUUUUAUUGAGACUCAUAAAGGAAGCAACAACACUUGAGAGUGUUGCAAAGUGGAAAAAACAAAACAGAAACAAAAACAACAACAAAAAACACGUGAACAUGACGUUGGGGGAAAGGAUGAAACCAGCCAUCGCAAGCCAGGAGAAUCCUUGGGAAGUGAGGCUCAGCGGCUGAGCAGCCUGAGCACAGAGGUUCAGGGUCAGGGUAGGGUGCCUAGCGAAUUCCCGUAACGCAGGACACUGCCCAAGCCAGCUUCAUAAAAAGUCACUCCGUUGAUUUCAGGCUCAAUGGGAACAUCUCUUGGCUGUUUGCUGAAUUUAGACACUUUAAAAAGUUUUCUUUGACUGAACAAGGGGUUCCUGAGACCAGCUUCCUGAGGGUAUCUUGGUAAACAAGCCUCCCACCACGAAUUUCCUUGCUGUUAUUGUAACUGGUUUUAACUGCACUUGAGUUUGUUUGGUUUGGUCUUUUGUUGUUUUUUUGUUUUUGUUUUUUUUCUUUUUUCCUUUUCAGACAGUUGCACUUAAAAUGUACUAACUUUUCAAUGAGAGAUGUAGGUUUGAGAGAAAAUGUUUGAACUCCCUUGAUGGAUCCUGUUGGUCCUAAGGCAGAUCCCCUUCCCAGACAGUGUCGCUUUGGACGGAAAACACAAAUCCUUGGAGAAGUGAGGUGAUAUGAGGAAGUGGCUUGGCAAGCCAUGGCUGUGCCUUGAUCUGCUGCUAGCCUCCAACCCCAGCUGUACAGGCACUGUGUGAGGUGUUCAGCCAUGCCUUAGCCGUAGUAAGCAUCCUGGGUUAAUGAGGUAAUGUUCAUAUGAUUUGUGAGGUCACCUGAUAGAGGGAAAAGACACAUGGUCCUCCAUUUUGUAAUUUGGGGAGUGGGGAAGAUGGCAGGCUAGUGAAAUUCAGGAGUCAAGAAACAUGAUGUGACCAGUUACAUAUCACAAAAAAAGAAGGAUAAGAAGGAAGAGGAGGAAGAAGAA
rnacentral:lncRNA from 1 species